rnacentral:rRNA from 1 species
ACGCUGGCGGCAUGCCUAAGACAUGCAAGUCGAACGAGACGGCCUAUUGAAGAUGGAGUGCUUGCACAAAGUUGGAUAUAGUUUACCGUCUAGUGGCGCAAGGGUGAGUAACGCGUGGGUUAUCUGCCUUCAAGACUGGGAUAACGGUUAGAAAUGAUCGCUAAUACCGGAUAAUACAUAUUUCAGUACGCUGUUAUAUGUUGAAAGGAGCCUUUAAAGCUCUACUCGAAGAUGAGCCUGCGUCGUAUUAGCUAGUUGGUGGGGUAAAGGCCUACCAAGGCGACGAUGCGUAGCCGACCUGAGAGGGUGAUCGGCCACACUGGGACUGAGACACGGCCCAGACUCCUACGGGAGACAGCAGUUAGGAAUAUUUGUCAAUGGAGGAAACUCUGAACAAGCAAUGCCGCGUGAAGGAUGACGGUCCUAUGGAUUGUAAACUUCUGUUGUUAGGGAAGAACGACUACACAAGGAAAUGUGUGUAGAGUGACGGUACCUUUCAAGAAAGCUCCGGCUAACUACGUGCCAGCAGCCGCGGUAAUACGUAGGGAGCGAGCGUUAUCCGGAUUUAUUGGGUGUAAAGGGUGCGUAGGCGGCUUUAUAAGCCGGUGGUCUAAGUCCGAAGCUUAACUUCGGUUCGCCAUUGAAACUGUAGAGCUUGAGUAUGGAAGAGGUAAGUGGAAUUUCUAGUGUAGCGGUUAAAUGCGUAGAUAUUAGAAGGAACACCAGUGGCGAAAGCGACUUACUGGUCCACUACUGACGCUGAGGCACGAAAGCGUGGGGAGCAAAUAGGAUUAGAUACCCUAGUAGUCCACGCCGUAAACGAUGGAUACUAAGUGUCGGGGCAACUCGGUGCUGAAGUUAACACAUUAAGUAUCCCACCUGAGUAGUACGGUCGCAAGGCUGAAACUCA